rnacentral:rRNA from 1 species
GACGUAGGGCGCGAGCGUUGUCCGGAUUUAUUGGGCGUAAAGAGCUCGUAGGCGGCUUGUCGCGUCGUCCGUGAAAACCUGCAGCUCGAACUGCAGGCUUGCGGUCGAUAUGGGCAGGCUAGAGUUCGGUAGGGGAGACUGGAAUUCCUGGUGUAGCGGUGAAAUGCGCAGAUAUCAGGAGGAACACCGGUGGCGAAGGCGGGUCUCUGGGCCGAUACUGACGCUGAGGAGCGAAAGCGUGGGGAGCGAACAGG